CCUUCCGUUCCAUCACUCGUGUGUAUCUGCAUUGCUUAGUCCCUAAGUUUUCAAAACUCCGCGCUUCAAGGGCUCCUGGGCGUUCAGAGGUGCCGUGUGGACCAGAGCAUGGGGGAGGGGCAUAUCUGUGUGUCCGUGUGUGUAGGGGGAGGUGGGGACAGGGCCUCCACCCUGGCUUGAACUAGAACAGCUUCACUCUGCUGUGUUUACCUAUUGAGCUUAUUGUACCAUUUCAUUUGGAGGAAGGUCCCAUGACUUUCAAAAGAAGAAAAGUCUGAAAACCCCGAGUGUGGAAGGAGGGUCCCUACCCCCGCUUCUUUGUCCCCCUCCGUAGUCUCCUGGAAGUCAUUUGGACACGAUUCCUUCUCGCUUCAGACCAUGACCAGAGCAAUAAAUCACUUGCACCUGGAUAUCUGCAUGGAGUCAUCUCCUAGAAUUUCUGGGUUUAUGAAGACUUCUUCAAAAACUUGAACUAAAAGUUUAUUUUGGAGAAUGCAGUUAAUUUGAAAACUCUGAAGAUCUUUGGUUACGUGACGGAUGGAAAUAAUUAGACUCAAAGAACUCCAUGUUCAGGAUACCUCAGGAUGGUGCUGAUGGACUUCUAGACAUGAAAAAGGACCCUGGACUUACUCUCCAGGAAGCUCCUUCUUCCCA